rnacentral:rRNA from 1 species
AGGACGAACGCUGGCGGCGUGCUUAACACAUGCAAGUCGAGCGGAAAGGCCCUUCGGGGUACUCGAGCGGCGAACGGGUGAGUAACACGUGAGUAAUCUGCCCCUAGCUCUGGGAUAGCUCCGGGAAACCGGGAUUAAUACCGGAUAUGACCACUUUAGACAUCUGCUGUGGUGGAAAGAAUUUCGGCUAGGGAUGAGCUCGCGGCCUAUCAGCUUGUUGGUGGGGUAACGGCCUACCAAGGCGACGACGGGUAGCCGGCCUGAGAGGGCGACCGGCCACGACUGGGACUGAGACACGGCCCAGACUCCUACGGGAGGCAGCAGUGGGGAAUAUUGCGCAAUGGGCGAAAGCCUGACGCAGCGACGCCGCGUGGGGGAUGAAGGCCUUCGGUUGUAAACCCCUUUCAGCAGGGACGAAGCGAAAGUGACGGUACCUGCAGAAGAAGCGCCGGCUAACUACGUGCCAGCAGCCGC